AGUGAACGCUGGCGGCGUGCCUAAUACAUGCAAGUCGAACGGAGUGGCGCACGGGCGAGUAAUGUAUAGCUAAUCUGCCCUUCACUAGAGGACAACAGUUGCUAACGACUGCUAAUACUCGAUAGUUUAGGUUGAGGCUAUAUUGUAUCAGCUAGUUGGUGAGGUAAUGGCUCACCAAGGCUAUGACGCAUAACUGGUCUGAGAGGAUGAUCAGUAACACCUGAACUGAGACACGGUCCCGAAUCCGACGGGAGGCAGCAGUAGGGAAUAGUGCUCAAUGGGGGAAACCCUGAAGCGGCAACGCCGCGUGAAGGAUGACACUUUUCGAAGCGUAAACUCCUUUUGUUAGGGAAGCGGUACCUAACGAAUAAGCACCGGCUAACUCCGUGCCAGCAGCCGCGGUAAUAC
rnacentral:rRNA from 1 species